ensembl:lncRNA uncharacterized LOC110083171
AAAAGAUCUUGGACCACCCUGGGUCUCAGUAAGAAGCACUUGAAAUACUGGUUCUUAUUACUGUUAUUGCCUUGUGCCUUUAAGUUGCUUCCGAUGUAUGGCCACCUUGUGAACUAGUGGCUUCCAAAAGGUCUACUCAUGAACAGCUCAGCUCUCCCAAACCCACAGCCCCGAGUUCCUUAAAGGAGCCAAUCCAUCUCAGAUUCGGUCUUCCUCAUUUCUUUCUUCCCCAAGCUGUUAGGGUUGAACUUUUUGAGUCCAUCUUUGGCCUUCGCGCGUUGGCGAGCGUGCCCGACUCUCUCUGAGCCAAGAGAUGCCAGCUGUGCUCGGGAAAAGCCCUUAGGUGUCCCCCCCCACACACUUUUCAGGAUCGUGGAGCCUGCAUGGCCAUUAUUGGGAUCCUGGGAUCGGUAGCCUCAUAAAAGUAACUUCCCCCAAACUUUGCGGGUCCGUUCUCUCCUGGCAACUCCUCCCCUGAAGGAUCUUUUAGCUGCUGCUUCUUUUUAACCCUUUGGCUGCCUUUUGCCUCUGCGGGAGUUUCAAGCGUUGAAAAGAGGUGCUUGGGAAAUCGGAUACCAAGGAUGGCUCCAGAGAAGCUCCACGUUCAUAUUCCCGGCCAGGUUUUCAGAAGAGGCGCCGGCAAAGGCGAUCCGUUCCCGGCUGGAGGGCCAGCCCUUCCCCUGCCCCGCUUCUCCGCCCCCUCUCCAUUCUUUGAUUCAUCCGGCGACUAACCCCCGGAUCCAAGACGCGAUAGAUCUUCUAUUUUUUGUUUUGUGUUGUUUUCCCCCUCCCCAGCUUCAUCGGCACCUUAUCUUUAGCUGUGACUUGAGAUGCUGGUGAGACCGCCCUACUGGACUUGCUCUUGCUGGCUAGGAGUUUGUUUCUGGCUUCUGACAGGCGAAGGAGGAUGUGUUAGCGCUCAGCUCUGCAGAAGCCCCCUGUGCAGCAGGAACAGCAACAAUGAGCAUCCGCCCAGCAAACAGCAGUGCCAGGGGCCUCACUGCUCAGGCAGGGUUGGGCAUACAUCCCGUGCCUUUCUUCACCCCGCCAGCCCUGUGCAAGGGCAGACACAGAGCAAGCAGCCGCCACCACCUCUCUUUUCCCUCCAGCAAGAGCAGAGGCAGCGGCAGCAGCAACCCUUUGUGGGUGGAAGACUUGAACACAGCUCUCUGUCCACAAGGCACACAGCAGAGAGUUGCUUUGGAGGAGGAGGAGGAGGAGACUGUGCCAUUAGGGCUCCCAAUGGUACCCUACGGAACUGCAAAGGCAUCGAGUGUCGGUUGCCCCCACGUCUUCGCCAGAAGCCGAGGCUAGCUAUCCAGGCUGUCCCUUGCCCCCCAAACCAGGAGGGAAGCUGUCCCGAGCCCUCUCUGGUCAGAGAAACUGAGAGGGCAGCCCAGUUUGUUGGAGAAGAUCUUGCCUACACAGCUUCUGAACUUGGGAGUGCCACUCUGGGCGUCCAGCUGACUUGCGAUGUUAAGCCAGGGGAAAAUGAAGUCCCAUCUGAAGAUGCCCUUGUACUCCAGCUUCAGCUCAUGAAAGGACAAGAGAAGUUUGUUGAAGCUCUCAAAAGCCAGCAGACCUUAAUCAUGGAUUUACAGCAAAAGUUGGCAGAGCAACAGAAUACGUUGGUUACCCAGCAGCGAGAAAUUAUUGAGCAACAGAGGAAAAUGUAUGAGCAGAUGGAUCUGAUAAAAGUCCAGUAUGGCAUGCUUUUUGACACUGUGAAGCAGAUGUCAUUGAAGGGUUUGCAAGAGGAUCUCCAGCACUAUUUUGAAGGCAAUCUACAAGGCCUUCGGAACCAACUCAGGAGCCACCUUCACAAGUCCUACUCUGGCCAUAAAAUUGAGUUUGAUGCCAAAGUGAUUGGGGAGCCUCUGAUGGGCUGUGGCCUUUGUGAAAGUGGUGAAUUUUGCAAUUUCCAGAAGACACCCUCUCGGUGUGAAAGAUGCACUUUGUGCCCUGCCGGCUUUUUCCAGCUGUCUGAAUGUUCUGCAAAUGCCGAUCGGAUCUGCCAGGAUAGAGAUGAAUGCGUUGAGUCACCAAGCAUCUGUGGGGAAAGAAUAAAAUGCCUAAACACUCCAGGAGGUUUCCGAUGCCUGGGUGUUGCUGAAAAAGAGGCUGCAUUGGGAUUGUGUGGAGAGGAAUAUUUCUUCAACAAAGAGGUGCUGGAGUGCCAAGCUUGCCUGACGUGUGAAGACGGGGUAGUUGCUUUCCCCUGUACUCUUGUUAGUGAUACCAUUUGUUCAACUGCCAGUGAAAACAAGCUUUCGGAGUCAUGGGCGGCGCACCUUGUUUUCCCUUUGGCAACGUCUAGCGCUUCUCAAGUUUAUCCAGGCUUUGACUUGACGAUAAAGGGAGAAGAGAAGUGCAAUAUAGUGACGGUGGAGGGCAACAGGGUGCUGUUCAAACAGCACGGCUUAAUGUGGGCUGACUUCAAUUUUGCGGUGAAACACAACUGUAGGAAUUUCCUCCACCUUUCUUUGAAAUUCAACAACAGUGAAGAAGACUACGAGUUGAGCGGAGUUCGUGUUGAACAGCCAGAAGGCAAAAUUUUGCAGAGCGUAACUCUGAGUAGCGCUACGGAGGUAGAACCAGGCCAUGUUCUUUCUGUUUUUUUGAAAAGCCCUAAUCAAUUCUGCAACCAAAGCAAAGACUUAAACGUUUAUGACCUCCAUGCACCUCUCAGUUUGUUUUGGUUGUCCCAUGACACCGGGGCAGUGGCGAUGACAGCCCAAACAUCAACUGCUGUGCACUACCAAACUAACUAUCGGCCAGCCUUUAAAUUGGUUUCUCUUUCCGACCCUUACAUGCUGGCUUUGUCCCACGAUGGCAGAGCCAUCAGGUUUACUGAAACGGGUGUUGUGAAGUUUGUUUUCCACCAAGCAUUAUACUCCAUGGGUCAUACCUGCAUUCGCGAAGGGUUUUCCCUGGCGUCUUACCUCAACAGAAAUGGCACCAAUACAGAACUAAUGACUGUGCAUAAGUCUGGUGUCAAUUACAGAGACACAACAAUAUCUGCCUCUGGGGCCACCAGAGUUGAAGCUGGGGAUCUGCUCAGCUUUGAAAUCCUGUCCCCAGCACAAUGCAGUGUUCGUUAUUUUGGAGACAGUUCUGGGAUUAGCAUGCUUAGCCUCAUCUGGAUCCCAUCCGCGGUUUCCACCGAACUUUCAGCCUUGGUCUCCAUAAGGGGGCUGCCAACAGGUGCUGUUAGAAACAGAUUAUUGGAUUUUACUCAGGUCUCACCAAGUGAAGAACAAAUCCAUCUCAUUUCUGCUGGACAAUAUGCUCACAAAUAUUUUGUAUUCAACGAAAGGGGAGUUGCUAGUGUUGCAUUUACCUUAAAGUUGAUUCAUUCCUGUAAUAUGCUCCAAGUGACUCUGAAUCAGCUUAUCAGUGAUCGUGGACAACCUAAAGCAGUUGCACAGCAGGUUGGUGGUCAAAUGCCAGAAGGAGCCAUUUGGACCAGUGUUAGCCUGCGUUCUUCUUUCAAAGUUCAUAAUGAAAUUGUCUGGAGAUAUUUCAUUCUAUCAAAUUCUGUGUAUUUUCAAAUGUGUACAGAGAUGGGAAAGAAAGUAAGACUCUAGGGCUAAAUUCAUUUACCUGGAAUUAUUUCUCGCUGAACUCAGUGGGGCUUUCUUCACUCCAGCAUGAAUAGAACUCCAGUGUAUAGGCAUUUAUAGGAUUAUACUGUAAGUAUGUUCACUUAAAUUACACAAAUUGUUGUUGAUGUUGUGGCUUCUGCUGGUGUUUAUGCAGAAUACAAUGCAUUAUGAAAACUAUAUUAGUUUAUACUAUUUUUUAUCUCUAAAUAUCAUUGUACUCUUUCUAAUGUGCACUGCAUCAGGACAGUUGAACAUAAAUAAAAAUAUUUAAUUUACCUGCCA